CUGCGAAUGGCUCAGUAAAUCAGUUAUCGUUUAUUUGAUAGUACCUUACUACUUGGAUAACCGUGGUAAUUCUAGAGCUAAUACAUGCCAAAAACCCCGACUUCGGGAGGGGUGUAUUUAUUAGAUAAAAAGCCAAUGCCCUCUGGGCUCUUUGGUGAUUCAUGAUAACUCAGCGGAUCGCAUGGCCUUGCGCCGGCGACGGUUCAUUCAAAUUUCUGCCCUAUCAACUUUCGAUGGUAAGGUAUUGGCUUACCAUGGUCUCAACGGGUAACGGGGGAUUAGGGUUCGACUCCGGAGAGGGAGCCUGAGAAACGGCUACCACAUCCAAGGAAGGCAGCAGGCGCGCAAAUUACCCAAUCCCGACACGGGGAGGUAGUGACAAUAAAUACUGAUACAGGGCUCUUUUGGGUCUUGUAAUCGGAAUGAGUACAAUUUAAAUCCCUUAACGAGGAACAAUUGGAGGGCAAGUCUGGUGCCAGCAGCCGCGGUAAUUCCAGCUCCAAUAGCGUAUAUUAAAGUUGUUGCAGUUAAAAAGCUCGUAGUUGAACCUUGGGCCUGGCUGGCCGGUCCGCCUCACCGCGUGCACUGGCACGGCCGGGCCUUUCCUCCUGGAGAGCCCCAUGCCCUUCGCUGGGCGUGCGGGGGAACCAGGACUUUUACUUUGAAAAAAUUAGAGUGUUCAAAGCAGGCCUUUGCUCGAAUACAUUAGCAUGGAAUAAUGAAAUAGGACGCGCGGUCCUAUUUUGUUGGUUUCUAGGAUCGCCGUAAUGAUUAAUAGGGACAGUCGGGGGCAUCCGUAUUCAAUUGUCAGAGGUGAAAUUCUUGGAUUUAUUGAAGACGAACUACUGCGAAAGCAUUUGCCAAGGAUGUUUUCAUUAAUCAGUGAACGAAAGUUAGGGGAUCGAAGACGAUCAGAUACCGUCGUAGUCUUAACCGUAAACUAUGCCGACUAGGGAUCGGGCGAUGUUAUUAUCUUGACUCGCUCGGCACCUUACGAGAAAUCAAAGUUUUUGGGUUCUGGGGGGAGUAUGGUCGCAAGGCUGAAACUUAAAGAAAUUGACGGAAGGGCACCACCAGGCG
rnacentral:rRNA from 1 species